UAGCUCAGAGGUAGAGCAUUUGCCUAGCAUGCAGGAAACUUUGGGUUCAAUGCCCAA
rnacentral:tRNA from 1 species